rnacentral:rRNA from 1 species
UACGAAGGGGGGCUAGCGUUGCUCGGAAUUACUGGGCGUAAAGGGCGCGUAGGCGGACAGUUAAGUCAGAGGUGAAAGCCCAGGGCUCAACCCUGGAAUAGCCUUUGAUACUGGCUGUCUUGAGUGCGGGAGAGGUGUGUGGAACUCCGAGUGUAGAGGUGAAAUUCGUAGAUAUUCGGAAGAACACCAGUGGCGAAGGCGGCUCACUGGACUGGUAUUGACGCUGAUGUGCGAAAGCGUGGGGAGCAAACAGG